GGAGGGCGCAAGCGUUGUCCGGAAUUACUGGGCGUAAAGGGGGCGCAGGCGGCAUGCUAAGUCCUGUGUGAAAGCCCGCGGCUCAACCGCGGAAAGCCACAGGAUACUGGCGAGCUUGAGACGGGUAGAGGCGAGUGGAAUUCCCGGUGUAGCGGUGGAAUGCGUAGAUAUCGGGAAGAACACCAGUGGCGAAGGCGACUCGCUGGGCCCGUUCUGACGCUCAGGCCCGAAAGCGUGGGGAGCAAACAGGGAUUAGAUACCCUGGUAGUCCACGCCGUAAACGAUGGGCACUAGGUGCUGGGGAGUGUGACCUCUUCGGUGCCGUAGCUAACGCGUUAAGUGCCCCGCCUGGGGAGUACGGCCGCAAGGCUG
rnacentral:rRNA from 1 species